UAUUAGGUUGGUGCAAAGGUAAUUGCAGUUUUUGCCAUUACUGUCAAUGGUAAAAUCCGCAAUUACUUUUGCACCCACCUAAUA
rnacentral:miRNA from 1 species